GAUGAACGCUAGCUACAGGCUUAACACAUGCAAGUCGAGGGGAAACGAUGAGAGAGCUUGCUCUCUUAGUCGUCGACCGGCGCACGGGUGAGUAACGCGUAUCCAACCUGCCUCUGACCAAGGGAUAACCCGUCGAAAGUCGGACUAAUACCUUAUGCAGUCGUCGGAAGUCAUCUGAUGACGACGAAAGAUUUCAUCGGUGAGAGAUGGGGAUGCGUCUGAUUAGCUUGUUGGCGGGGUAACGGCCCACCAAGGCGACGAUCAGUAGGGGUUCUGAGAGGAAGGUCCCCCACAUUGGAACUGAGACACGGUCCAAACUCCUACGGGAGGCAGCAGUGAGGAAUAUUGGUCAAUGGGCGUAAGCCUGAACCAGCCAAGUAGCGUGCAGGAUGACGGCCCUAUGGGUUGUAAACAGCUUUUAUGCGGGGAUAAAGUGAGGGACGUGUCCUUCAUUGCAGGUACCGCAUGAAUAAGGACCGGCUAAUUCCGUG
rnacentral:rRNA from 1 species